AGGAUGAACGCUGGCGGCGUGCCUAACACAUGCAAGUCGAGCGAUCUUCUUCGGAAGAGAGCGGCGGACGGGUGAGUAACGCGUGGGUAACCUGCCCUGUACACACGGAUAACAUACCGGAAGGUAUGCUAAUACGGGAUAACAUAUGAAAGUCACAUGACUUUAAUAUCAAAGCUUUUGCGGUACAGGAUGGACCCGCGUCUGAUUAGCUAGUUGGUAAGGUAACGGCUUACCAAGGCGACGAUCAGUAGCCGACCUGAGAGGGUGAUCGGCCACACUGGAACUGAGACACGGUCCAGACUCCUACGGGAGGCAGCAGUGGGGAAUAUUGCACAAUGGGCGAAAGCCUGAUGCAGCAACGCCGCGUGAGCGAUGAAGGCCUUCGGGUCGUAAAGCUCUGUCCUCAAGGAAGAUAAUGACGGUACUUGAGGAGGAAGCCCCGGCUAACUACGUGCCAGCAGCCGCGGUAAUACGUAGGGGGCUAGCGUUAUCCGGAAUUACUGGGCGUAAAGGGUGCGUAGGCGGUCUUUCAAGCCAGAAGUGAAAGGCUACGGCUCAACCGUAGUAAGCUUUUGGAACUGUAGGACUUGAGUGCAGGAGAGGAGAGUAGAAUUCCUAGUGUAGCGGUGAAAUGCGUAGAUAUUAGGAGGAAUACCAGUAGCGAAGGCGGCUCUCUGGACUGUAACUGACGCUGAGGCACGAAAGCGUGGGGAGCGAACAGGAUUAGAUACCCUGGUAGUCCACGCCGUAAACGAUGAGUACUAGGUGUCGGGGGUUACCCCCCUCGGUGCCGCAGCUAACGCAUUAAGUACUCCGCCUGGGAAGUACGCUCGCAAGAGUGAAA
rnacentral:rRNA from 1 species